ACGCUUUCCAGAAGAAGAGCCUCUCGAGCUAGCCUACUGCAGCUGUAGGCAGGGCCUCUGCGGCGGAGUACCCGGAGUGGCCAUGUCGCGAGUGUUGGGAGACCUGUAAAGACACUGGAGGCUGUGGAGCACGAGUGAAGUGUGCUGGCAUGACUGUGCCUACCUGGGAAUGGGGUGUAGGACAAAUGAGAUUUACAUGCACAUUGGGGGGAUACCGAGUAUUGGAAAAAAGACCAACUUGGCACCAAGAUGGGAUACAGAUGUUACAACUGUGAACCCACGUCAACGCUGACUGUAAACUUCAGCCAUCCUGCAAUCUUGGGGAGCCUAACAGCUCUACCCGGCUGACUUUUAAUAUGGAAAGAUAUGUUUGUGCAUGCAGAAGUUACAGAGAUCUCGGGGAAACUCCAGCUCCGUGGCCAGGACAUGAAGAGAAGAGAAACUUCAAAGACUCACAGCAACAGAAGUGCUGGAAGCGACUGGGGCGUGAGAUGUUCAUCUGCAUCUCGGGAGAUGUGAAUCCUCUUACUUAGUUUGUCCCCCCAAAACUUUCAAUUGAUUUCGAGUUACGUAAUUUCAACUUGGUUGUUCUUGCGAACCGCGGAGAAAAUACAAACUUCCAGCAACAAUGACAACAGCUUUAACCUUUGCAGAUUUUCCCAUUGGAAUGUUUGGAGGAAAGAAAAGAAACAAGCUCCUGUCAGAAAACAGGAGCCUCUAAACCUGUGACGGUCAGCCCUUCUUUGAAGCGGAUUCGCCCAGUGCUGCGUUUGGGAUGUAAAUGAUUACAGUGGCCUCUUCGAAGUCUGUCAUCACCCAAACUCCCCUCCUCCUCUCCUCUUCUUUAGGCUAAACCACCCCGCACAGACUUUAACUUCUCCAUGGACCUUGUCACCAUCGGCCUCGUGACAGACACAGUUGAGGCCUGGCUCUUUAGCCUCUGCUGUUCUUGCAAAUAGUUACUCCAGUAGCAAGCUGGCCUUGCUCUGAUCAAGCAUCUUAGGCUUCUAAUUUUCAUGUAUACCAGACUACUCCCAGGGCAAAGAGCUACUGCAGGACAUGCAGGCAUCUAAAUCUUGAUGUGAAAGGUACUAGCUGUAAACCACUGGUGGUGGGAGUAGGGUGGAGAAGAAAAAGGGAACCUGCCAAUUCACCUUACCUGGCUUCCCUUGCGUGGAAUCCAAGCUCACGAUGAGGAAGGUUUGCUGAACUCAGCAUCCUGUGAGCUGUCAAGGAAGAAAAGCUGGGAGAAAAAUGGCCCAACCAUCUCCUUGUUAAUGCGCACCGAAUUUCUAGUAAAAGCUGUGAUCUCUGCCUGAACUGUAGCGUACAGCAGAAGUACUAGAUUCAGUUAUGUGUCUUGCAAUGAGAAAUGUGGAGGAGGGCUUAUGGAUGAUGAAUGGGUCGAUCUCAUUCCUGCGUGGGAAGCUUCCAGUCUAUGCUACUUUCACCUGUCUGGAGAAAAUUGACACCCCUCCUGGUUACACAAUCAGGCCACGUGAAGACCAGCCAGACCAGGAAAUGUGCAUGUUCUUGGUAGCUGUAGGCCUGUAAGAUUGUGUAACUCAUUGGCAAAAGUGUCUGUGUAUCUAUUUGCAAUCUAUUGUUCUCAGCUGACAGGUUUAAGUGCAGAUCAUUAAUAGUAUUUAAUCACCUACCUCCUUUUAAUUUCAUGAGGAUGUAGGCAUUUAAAUACCUUUUGUCCUCAGCUAAGGUAAGUCCAUCAUUUCGCAUUUGUUGCUGGCUAAGAACAUGCACAAAGAUGUAUAGUAAUUUUUAAGCAACUGUCAAUUCAUGGUGAUGCUGAGCUCUUUGUUUUUCAACUCAGCUAGUCAAGGCAGAUAUGCUAAAGCCAGUAUUCUUUGCAUCCCAUCAGCCCAAAUGAUGAGAGAGUAGGAGGUGUCUGGAUUCAGCUGCACAAAAGAAACAAGCGAGUAGCAGAGGCCAAAAAUAGAAUUUCAAGAUAUAGCAGUGGGAUGAGUCCUGGAUUUUGCAAGCAAAGUGUUUAUUCCUCUCUUCACAAUUACUGCAUCUUUCUCCCUCCCCCUCCCCCCCCACUUUUUUUUUAAUGGCAUUUCUGGGGACAUCAGUGGAGGAACACACAGUUUGGUAGUCACAGAGAGGGUGGCAGGCUGCCAGGUCCCAUCUCCAAUUUUAUACCCUGAUAGCACUGGGCAGAUUCCCCAGAGAUGAGACAAGUACAGUGAUGCACACAUACUUGUCAGUUGGUUUAAGUUCUCAGUAAUUAUGCUGGAGCAUGACUAACAUGCUGUAGAGGAAGGUGCAAGAGUUUAAUGAACGCAUUAUUGUUGUGGUAGGAACCGCACAAACGCUGAAUUAGGGAGCGUCUCCUUGCCAAAAAGCAUGCAGCCUGAUGAGAUGCAGAACGGGAGGGCAAAGAGAGCCCCAGCUGGGUGGCAGUGAGGAGCUAAGGUCUCUGAGUCUCAGUCGAGUACUCAAUCAACGGACUCUUUUCAAGAAGGUCCAUCUAGUGCUCCUGAACAGCUACAGAUGAUAGUCUCGCCCGUAGAUAUUUCUCCAUGUGAGCUGUUACGAAUGUGAAGCAUCAGCAAUAUAUAGACACAAUUCCUUGAGGGAGCCAGUCACAUUCACCAGUCUCUCCACUGCGUUUGUCACAAAUCAAGUUAUUACAUGCUCCGUUCAUUGUUACUCCAGUGUUACUCACCAUGUUUACUGUUUCCAUCCAACUCACUGCUCCCGCAAUGUAGAACCAGUCGUGCCAGCUAACGAAUGCCAUCGAAAUGGUGAGGAAUGGACUUCUUAUGUGCUAGAUAUGUUAGGUCAUGUAAGUCCUUCCCAAGGGGGAUAAUUAGAGAUCACCACACCCUCCUUAUACAUGUUGAGCUUGACAAGGCUUGCUGGGCUGCAAACCCCCCAGUAGCACAAGUAAACAGCUUGCAGUGAAGUCUGCCGAGAGGGCUGGUGUUCAGUUGGUGCAGUGCGCCGCCCGGGGCCGAAUUCAUGGGCUGGAGAGGCCUGCCUGUGGCUUUUCACAGAGCAGGCGAGACAGCCAGCUGGGCGCUUCUCGGCAGCGCUCCGGCCAUUCCCAGGUACUUGCUGGUUACGUGUUGCAACCGACACAGGCUUGGAGCGCAACUCAUAGCGCUUUGCUAUGAAUGUUUUCUGUUAAAAAGAUCAGUCUCUCCAAAGUGAAAAUAUUUUGCCUUUUCCAUUGCUGCAGCUUCCUCCCAUUUUUCCAGUGGCAUAAACAGAAAUGGAAUAUUAUUUUGUAAUGUUAGAUUAUUCUAUGAAAGGAUAAAAAAAUGCGAAGAGAGGUAAAUAUAUCUGGCAAGACUCACUUAAAAAAAAAGAACGUCCAAUUUGGAAAGAUAUUUCUAAGAGAAUAUGAGAAAAAUUAAGAUCAGCUCUAUUUGACAAGGAAUUGUCUUAAGUGGUAAGUGGCAGAGAGGAGACCAUUGUUCUUAUUUAAACAUAGCCCCAAACCUUCAGCUUAUAAACUUUCCUGUUGAUCUCAGGCUUGUGGUUCAUGUUUCUUUUUCUUUUUUAUCUUCAAAUCUGUUCUUUUUCCCCCUUUUUUUCUCAUGCCUGGCUCCUUUCUUCAUCUCAUUUAGGAGGUCAACUUUCCUAAAUUAAUAUUAUGUCAUCUUACAUUCAGAAUCAUGGUCCUUGCAUCAAAAAAAGUUCCCAGCAUUGUCAGAGAAUUUCAGCUGCUGCUUCCUGAGCUGCAGCAUUUUAUGCAUCUUCCUCUGAAGCAUCUGGUCCAGGCCACAUGAACGCCUGGGCUGAAAGCACGUCUGUUUCUAGGUGAAACAUCUCAGAUCAUCUCUAAUCCUCAAGACAAAAAGCCCACAGCCUUUGAAAGGCAAGGGGUAUGCCUCCAGUUAAGCUCUGACCAUGUUGCCUUCAAAAUGGGAGCAGUUCCUAAUGGGAAUACUUCAUUUCUCUGUCAUUUGCUCGUAGAGCUGAACCCAAGUGUCACCUGCCCAGACUUUGCAACCAGCUCAAUCUCAAACUCCUUUUCUGAGGAGUGCAGCCCUAGUCUCUGACAAGCACGUCAGGGUGGCCAUGAGGGCUCGAACGUCUCCUGCACCCCCAGCAUGGUGAAAGGGUAGGUGGCAACCAAGGGCUCUGGGUUUCUCUGCUCCAAAGUGACAAAAGGGAGCAAGGAGCAUUCUCAGGAGGAGGGAGGGAAAAAAAAUCCUUCUGUUCCCUUUGGUUGAUUUUAUUUAAUUCUGUCCUUACAAAAAAUAAGAUAAAACCCAAGGCACAUGGAGGUAUGAAGUACACCAGGAUGUUAAAUACCCAACCUACGUCAGCACAGAACUUGCUCUUAAUCAACAAUCCACCUGAAAUACCUGGGGGCAAAGGCGGAAGCUGUGGAAACAUGUUGCAACAGACUGAAGCCAUCCUAGAGAAAAACUGCCACACAAAUAGAACGCCGGAAGAGAGACAAUUGUGUUUCUUGGUUUCAAACUUGCUAAAAGUAUUCUUUUUGAUCCCAACAUAACGCAGCAUGCCAAAAGCAGGAUGAAAAUGCUAAUUCCAAGAAAGUUCACCAUCCUAACUCCAGCGGGUUUAUUAUCCUAAUCGACUUACAACCUUCAGGUCUAAAUUAGCCUGCUUGGAAAUGUGAUCAGCACCAGUAAUUUUCCACUUUAUGACAUACUUUAUAAUAAAUAAUUUUAAAAAAUCAUAAAUAGCAAUAGUAUUAGAUCACUGGAGCUCAUGAACUACUUUUAGUUUAAAGUAUGGUGCAGAAAAGAGACAUUUUUGAUGAUACCUCCCUAAAACUCAGUCUGUGUUACUCUUUUGCCAUAAUUAAAUUAUUGCUUAUAAGAACUUUUGCUUGGUCAAAAAGAGAAAAAAAACAAUUAUAAUAAUUCCAUUUCACUGUUUUCCGUAAGCUUGUAGCCAAGUUGGCCAAUAACUAAGGCAAAAAGCAGGGGAAAAAAAAGGUAUGUAUUGUAUACUCACUUAAAACUUGGCUAGAAAUGACCUUUUAUUGUCUAAUUUUUUUUUUCCCUGCCCGACUUGGCUACUUGAGACAAACUCAUUGCCAAGUUUCUAUAGUGUGUUAUUUUCCUAUGUGUGAUGUGUUCAAAAACAUUUUAAAAAGCUGCCCUCAAAGUGUUGUACAAGCGUUUGGUAUGGGCCGAGGCGGAGCAGGCUGCGUUUGAUAGCGUUGCCGACGUAGAUGCUGGUGCUAGAACGCUCGAGAUGUUUUGCUUGCUUUUUUCCUCCUGUUCCCUGCGUCGCCCAACAUGGAAAGGUCUCCAAAUGGGCUGUGCUAACAAAUGCAGCUGAAGACAGCCAUAUGAUGUUAAUAUAAACCUCCGCUGUCAGCUUGGAGAGGCACCAGGAAACAGCCCCAGGAAUGCUUUUUGCAGCUCGUGUCUCUGCGCGGUUGCAGGCGGUGGCAUUUGUCAGGCUCAGCCAGGCGCGGGCUUGUCUGCAGCCCGCUCCGCAGGGGCAGGCCCUUUCCCGUGUGUCUGGGUCACUGUAACAUGUGUCAUGUUGUGUCUAAGUACAUCCACAACUUUUUAAUUAAAAAAAAAAAAGAAAAGGAAACGAUUCUGGUUAGAACCGAAACUGUUGGGGAGGGGGGAGCACACACAGUUCCUCAUAUAACAUUUUCUCUCAUAUAAAAUGACCUGGCCUUUCCAUAAAUGAUAGUUUUGUCAUGAUAAAAUAAGAAAUCCAGCUCUCUGUAUAUCUCGAGGGCUAUUUAUCUUGGAGUCCUUCAUUAAAACAUUACACUGGAACAUAUAUGAAGACCAGAGGCUUGGGCUUAUUCUUAUCUGGGAUCAUUUCACUUUAAAAAGGAAGAAAAAUGGUUUUAAAGUUA